GGGGGAUAACUAUUGGAAACGAUAGCUAAUACCGCAUAAGAGUAGAUGUCGCAUGACAUUUGCUUAAAAGGUGCAAUUGCAUCACUACCAGAUGGACCUGCGUUGUAUUAGCUAGUUGGUGGGGUAACGGCUCACCAAGGCGACGAUACAUAACCGACCUGAGAGGGUGAUCGGCCACACUGGGACUGAGACACGGCCCAG
rnacentral:rRNA from 1 species